AUUGAACGCUGGCGGCAGGCCUAACACAUGCAAGUCGAACGGUAACAGGAAACAGCUUGCUGUUUCGCUGACGAGUGGCGGACGGGUGAGUAAUGUCUGGGAAACUGCCUGAUGGAGGGGGAUAACUACUGGAAACGGUAGCUAAUACCGCAUAACGUCGCAAGACCAAAGAGGGGGACCUUCGGGCCUCUUGCCAUCGGAUGUGCCCAGAUGGGAUUAGCUAGUAGGUGGGGUAACGGCUCACCUAGGCGACGAUCCCUAGCUGGUCUGAGAGGAUGACCAGCCACACUGGAACUGAGACACGGCCCAGACUCCUACGGGAGGCAGCAGCGGGGAAUAUUGCACAAUGGGCGCAAGCCUGAUGCAGCCAUGCCGCGUGUAUGAAGAAGGCCUUCGGGUUGUAAAGUACUUUCAGCGGGGAGGAAGGGAGUAAAGUUAAUACCUUUGCUCAUUGACGUUACCCGCAGAAGAAGCACCGGCUAACUCCGUGCCAGCAGCCGCCGUAA
rnacentral:rRNA from 1 species